AGAAAACAUACAUUCUCCGCACCCCUAUCUAUACUUUCCUUUUCACCCUACUCUCUAUCCCUAGUCUUACCUCUUUGUUCCUCUGUCUCCUACUCUGUUACUUCGUUUUCUUCUUUCAUCUCUUUUUACUAUUUACACCUUACUUCCCUUUUCAUCAUCUCCAUACCCUUUCAUUUUCAACCCUUUACACUCUCUCUCUCAUCCUUUUCUUUCUCCACCUCACACGCUCACCUUCUUUCUCUCUUCUCUAUAAUUAUAUUGCUCCCAACCAUCUCAAAAACACACACACACACAACUCAAACACAUAGAAACUAA